GUUCACCAACAAUUAUUUAUUUGAACGCCGGGUAAGAAGAGAGGCGGUGUGAUCGGUGACACGAGCGUAUUAAGGUAAUUGAUGAUGUGGACAUAAAGGAUUAUGUCCGGAUAUACUACACACCCAAGUGGCUUGAAGAUGAUGUGCAGCUUUAUUGGUGAAAUAAAAAGAAACACUCAAUCAUGGUAUUUGUUCUUCAAACACAAUCCACUUGGCUUCUGGAAAUAGUAAUUGAGAGGAAUAACUGGAAUGGCCACAACAUGGAGAUAUGUCUCAGGUGUGCAGAAUAUUUAAAUGUUCAUACCCUGAGUUAAAUACAAGUGAAUAACGCAUAUUUUUUUUCCAGUUCCGUAAAAAGGUUUAAGAAUUUGAGAUGAUGCCAGGUGUCAGAAUCAACCAAACACAGGGUGGUAAAAUACCCCUCUGCAAGGUCACACGUCUCAAACCAACUCGGUGUUUAUCAAGUCUGUGAAACAAUAUUUACAUCACACAAAUAAGCCUAUUAUAAAGAUGCGCUACAGUGAACAAAUUAACCACAGUUUGAGUAAACAGCAAAAUUGAAUUUAAAAAAGUGCCCCAUUUGUGGUAUUUCUUAACCCUUUCAGACUUUUGUAAAUGAUUUUGAAAGCUAGCGUAGGCAAUUCAUGUUGGAAGCUUUUUUUCGCCUAUGUUAGGCCAAUGAUUGGACGACCGACCUGUCAGUCUACCUGCCUUCAUAAGUCUUGUACAGAGCUAGGCAGACCUAUGCUAAAGAAAGCAGGCAUGUCACGUGAUUGGUUGAAGGGGAAGGGUUGGACGUUUUCUAUUGGUGACUUUAAAAAUGUAGCCUACUCUGGCCGGUUUCUUCAGAUUGCCUACCCUAGCUUUAACGUUUUAACGGAGCGUUUCAAUGGGAGGUGAAAUAUUGAGAGAUUGGCUAAAUUCUUACACGGUAAUUAUUCAAGAAAAUGUAUGAAAGUUAUAGACGGAUAAAAUUAAGCAGUAGAGCAAUACAUUCAUUUAAGUUUCAAUAAAAUCAUUAAAUAAUAGUCAUUUAAACUUUUGGUGAGGUUUUCCUUAAAUAAUCAGCUAAAAUACAACCGCGGCCUAGGCUGUCGAUAUAUGUGGUUCAUCGCAUGCCAAAAUAGACGUGUAAAGUAUGGCCAAGCCUCGGAAAAACAAACAGUAACAAAAACAGCAACAACGAUUUCUUUGGUGAUAUGGAUUCGACGCAAACCGUCGGAUAAUGUUGACUAGUGCGAGUACGAGUGAAGUCUGAAAUCCUACCACAAAACACAGCAGUUGAGGACCACUGCCAUUCAGUCUCUCUGUCUGUCCAUCAGUCCGUCCAUC
ensembl:lncRNA